GACCAGAGAAGGGUUGGGGCCAUGUCUGAAGAGCAGCAGAAUGAAACAAGGAAGUGGAUGGUCAGCCUGGAGAGCUCUGACAAGCAGAAGACAGGAGCAUCAAGGAAACCACGGAGCCUAUGCAAAGCCUGGGGUGUCCAGCCAGCCUGCUUUCCUGGUCAACACUUUUUGCUCCUGGUCGCUUUUCAACAUCCAGGUUCCAGGACUCACCCAGAAAACAAUAGGAGAGAGGAGAGGGACUCUAAUGGACCCACCCACCUCCUCAGACCCUGCUGCCUCCCUACCCCAACAGUGGAUCACAGACCUGCCACCAACGUCUUGCCCUUCAAGGACACCAGAGGCCCAGGUGUGACCUCCAUGGAACUGACUGCAGGGCCC
rnacentral:lncRNA from 1 species